UACAGAGGGUGCGAGCGUUGUCCGGAAUCACUGGGCGUAAAGGGCGCGUAGGCGGUCUCUUAAGCGUGUGGUGAAAGCCCGGGGCUCAACUCCGGGUCGGCCGUGCGAACUGGGAGACUGGAGCUUGUCAGAGGCAGGCGGAAUUCCGGGUGUAGCGGUGGAAUGCGUAGAGAUCCGGAAGAACACCGGUGGCGAAGGCGGCCUGCUGGGCAGUUGCUGACACUGAGGCGCGACAGCGUGGGGAGCAAACAGG
rnacentral:rRNA from 1 species